AGAGUUUGAUCCUGGCUCAGGACGAACGCUGGCGGCGCGCCUAACACAUGCAAGUCGAACGAGAGAUGAGGAGCUUGCUCUUCAAAUCGAGUGGCGAACGGGUGAGUAACGCGUGAGGAACCUGCCUCAAAGAGGGGGACAACAGUUGGAAACGACUGCUAAUACCGCAUAAGCCCACGGCUCGGCAUCGAGCAGAGGGAAAAGGAGUGAUCCGCUUUGAGAUGGCCUCGCGUCCGAUUAGCUAGUUGGUGAGGUAACGGCCCACCAAGGCGACGAUCGGUAGCCGGACUGAGAGGUUGAACGGCCACAUUGGGACUGAGACACGGCCCAGACUCCUACGGGAGGCAGCAGUGGGGAAUAUUGCACAAUGGGGGAAACCCUGAUGCAGCGACGCCGCGUGGAGGAAGAAGGUCUUCGGAUUGUAAACUCCUGUUGUUGAGGAAGAUAAUGACGGUACUCAACAAGGAAGUGACGGCUAACUACGUGCCAGCAGCCGCGGUAAAACGUAGGCCACAAGCGUUGUCCGGAAUUACUGGGUGUAAAGGGAGCGCAGGCGGGAGAACAAGUUGGAAGUGAAAUCCAUGGGCUCAACCCAUGAACUGCUUUCAAAACUGUUUUUCUUGAGUAGUGCAGAGGUAGGCGGAAUUCCCGGUGUAGCGGUGGAAUGCGUAGAUAUCGGGAGGAACACCAGUGGCGAAGGCGGCCUACUGGGCACCAACUGACGCUGAGGCUCGAAAGUGUGGGUAGCAAACAGGAUUAGAUACCCUGGUAGUCCACACCGUAAACGAUGAUUACUAGGUGUUGGAGGAUUGACCCCUUCAGUGCCGCAGUUAACACAAUAAGUAAUCCACCUGGGGAGUACGACCGCAAGGUUGAAACUCAAAGGAAUUGACGGGGGCCCGCACAAGCAGUGGAAGUAUGUGGGUUUAAUUCGACGCAACGCGAAGAACCUUACCAAGUCUUGACAUCCCUUGACGAACAUAGAAAUAUGUUUUCUCUUCGGAGCAAGGAGACAGGUGGUGCAUGGUUGUCGUCAGCUCGUGUCGUGAGAUGUUGGGUUAAGUCCCGCAACGAGCGCAACCCUUAUGGUCAGUUACUACGCAAGAGGACUCUGGCCAGACUGCCGUUGACAAAACGGAGGAAGGUGGGGAUGACGUCAAAUCAUCAUGCCCUUUAUGACUUGGGCUACACACGUACUACAAUGGCGUUAAACAAAGAGAAGCAAGACCGCGAGGUGGAGCAAAACUCAGAAACAACGUCCCAGUUCGGACUGCAGGCUGCAACUCGCCUGCACGAAGUCGGAAUUGCUAGUAAUCGUGGAUCAGCAUGCCACGGUGAAUACGUUCCCGGGCCUUGUACACACCGCCCGUC
rnacentral:rRNA from 1 species